rnacentral:tRNA from 1 species
AGGUGGGGGCUCAGUGGUAGAGUGCCUGCCUACAAUGGCGAGGCACUGGGUUCGACUCUCAGCAAUUUA